CCUACGGGAGGCAGCAGUGAGGAAUAUUGGACAAUGGGCGCAAGCCUGAUCCAGCCAUGCCGCGUGCAGGAAGACGGUCCUAUGGAUUGUAAACUGCUUUUGUACGGGAAGAAACACUCCUUCGUGAAGGAGCUUGACGGUACCGUAAGAAUAAGGAUCGGCUAACUCCGUGCCAGCAGCCGCGGUAAUACGGGAGGAUCCAAGCGUUAUCCGGAAUCAUUAGGGUUUAAAGGGUCCGUAGGCGGUUUAGUAAGUCAGUGGUGAAAGCCCAUCGCUCAACGGUGGAACGGCCAUUGAUACUGCUAGACUUGAAUUAUUAGGAAGUAACUAGAAUAUGUAGUGUAGCGGUGAAAUGCUUAGAGAUUACAUGGAAUACCAAUUGCGAAGGCAGGUUACUACUAAUGGAUUGACGCUGAUGGACGAAAGCGUGGGUAGCGAACAGGAUUAGAUACCCUGGUAGUCCACGCCGUAAACGAUGGAUACUAGCUGUUGGGCGCAAGUUCAGUGGCUAAGCGAAAGUGAUAAGUAUCCACCUGGGGAGUACGUUCGCAAGAUGAAACUCAAAUGAAUUGNGNGNGAGAGAGACGAGACGACGAGAGGAGGAGG
rnacentral:rRNA from 1 species